GGAAGAGAGAAGAGGACGGCACACCCAAAAUCUCCAUCACUACUUCUUAGGCACAACCAGAGUGGAGCUGAUAAUUGCACUGCGUAAGGUGCAUUUUACACUUUCCAAACGAGGUUGUGGCCCACAGGAUGAAAAACCCCUGCUCUAAAUGGAUAUCUGCUCCAAGAUUUUACUUAACUCCUCUAGGAAGAAUGGAGAAGAGGAAUUUUCCA
rnacentral:lncRNA from 1 species